GUUAGGAAUAUUGGACAAUGGGCGCAAGCCUGAUCCAGCCAUGCCGCGUGAGUGAUGAAGGCCUUCGGGUUGUAAAGCUCUUUAGUCCACGAAUAUAAUGACUGUAGUGGAAGAAUAAGCCCCGGCUAACUUCGUGCCAGCAGCCGCGGUAAUACGAAGGGGGCGAGCGUUAUUCGGAAUCACUGGGCGUAAAGCGUGCGUAGGCUGUUUUGUAAGUCAGAAGUGAAAGCCCAGGGCUUAACCCUGGAAUUGCUUUUGAAACUACAAGACUCGAAUUCGGGAGAGGAUAGCGGAAUUGUCAGUGUAGCAGUGAAAUGCGUAGAUAUUGACAGGAACACCAGUGGCGCAAGCGGCUAUCUGGACCGAUAUUGACGCUGAGGCACGAAAGCGUGGGGAUCGAACAGGAUUAGAAACCCGAGUAGUCC
rnacentral:rRNA from 1 species